AGGACGAACGCUGGCGGCGUGCUUAACACAUGCAAGUCGAGCGGAAAGGCCCUUCGGGGUACUCGAGCGGCGAACGGGUGAGUAACACGUGAGCAACCUGCCCUUAGCUUCGGGAUAGCUCCGGGAAACCGGAAUUAAUACCGAAUAUGACUUUGGCUGACAUCAGCAGAAGUGGAAAGUUUUUCGGCUAGGGAUGGACUCGCGGCCUAUCAGCUAGUUGGUGAGGUAACGGCCCACCAAGGCGACGACGGGUAGCCGGCCUGAGAGGGCGACCGGCCACACUGGGACUGAGACACGGCCCAGACUCCUACGGGAGGCAGCAGUGGGGAAUAUUGCGCAAUGGGCGAAAGCCUGACGCAGCGACGCCGCGUGGGGGAUGAAUGCCUUCGGGUUGUAAACCCUUUCAGCAGGGACGAAGCGAAAGUGACGGUACCUGCAGAAGAAGCGCCGGCUAACUACGUGCCUAGCAGCCGC
rnacentral:rRNA from 1 species